AGCAGCCGCGGUAAUUCCAGCUCCAAUAGCGUAUAUUAAAGUUGUUGCAGUUAAAAAGCUCGUAGUUGAAUUUCGGGAUCAAUACGUCGGUCGUGCUUUCGGGUACGUACUGGCGUCGUUGGUUUCUACCUUCUGACGAACCAUGAUGUCAUUUAUUUGGUGUCGUGGGAAAUCAGGACUGUUACUUUGAAAAAAAUUAGAGUGUUUAAAGCAGGCUCACGCUUGAAUACAUUAGCAUGGAAUAAUGAAAUAGGACGUUUGAUUCUAUUUUGUUGGUUUCUAGGAUCGACGUAAUGAUUAAUAGGGAUAGUUGGGGGCAUUAGUAUUCAAUUGUCAGAGGUGAAAUUCUUGGAUUUAUUGAAGACUAACUACUGCAAAAGCAUUUGCCAAGGAUGUUUUCAUUAAUCAAGAACGAAAGUUAGGGAUCGAAGACGAUCAGAUACCGUCGUAGUCUUAACCAUAAACUAUGCCGACUAGGAAUCAGAUGAUGCUAAUUUUUUAAUGACUCAUUCGGCGCCUU
rnacentral:rRNA from 1 species